rnacentral:lncRNA from 1 species
AGGAAUUUCUAGACUGAAUCGAGUGGACCGUCUGCGUGGUUGUUGAAAGUUGACUGAGUUUAGCAAAAAAAUGAAUCAAGGCAUCAAGAGAAAGAGAGAAAUCUCAGAGAUCACUGUGGGCUGACGGUGAAGAAUGCUGCAAACUGACUGAUUUGCUUUUAAAAUCAAGUGCAGCGUCAGUUAGCACUAGCGCUAAUACUGCUAGCAUUGAUGAGCCAGCACAGCAGGGAGAAAGACAGGACAGUGAGGAAUAUGAGCAAGAGGAGGAUGAGGAGGUAGACAUGGAUAACUGCGUGACGGAAACCUCCACACAGGCACUAUCUGCUUUGCCCAGUGUGUCUUAAAACACAAGAAAGUCUGUCAUGCCAUCUGCUCAGAGUCUGCAAGAAAACCUCCAGCCGAGCAGAUAUUGAAGCCCUGGUUGAAAAGGCCAAGAAAGAUGUUUUGGACCUGCUUCAGAAUGGCAGGGCCUUUAGUUAUGCAGUCCUUACACAAAUUAUGGCUGAUACGAAUCCACUCAAGAGGUUGGUGGCUUUUUGUUUACUCUUUACUCUGUCUUAUUCCCUUAUGUGUAGAUAUUCUAAAAUGUCUUGUUUUCCUCAUUGAAAGCUUGAUUGAGGAGUUAAACCGUCACCACUUGAUCGUCACCGGAUCCCCGCCCCCUCUGCCCACUGAAGCUGGCCCAUCCACCACACAGCCACCAGAGACUGGAGACCAGGGAGAGCCGUCGGGAGAGUGUGAGCCGUCUGACGCUGCAUCUGUCAGCAGUGGCGAGUUAUUUCAAUGUGACCAAGAUGUAAAUUACUCCAACAAGGUCAGGCAGAAAAUGUCAGAGAAGGGCCUGUAUAACAAGCACGACGUGAGCGAUCCACUGCUGAAUGACUUUGCCAAAUACUUGCAGACAGAGCUCCUCAAAGUUUCAAACAGGAGGUUGAAAAUGUUGCACAGUACCUCCAUUAUGCAGACUCAAAGGCACCAUCCCUUCAGUUUGUCAAUGACAGAGAGAAGCUCCAAGAGUACCUGCAUGCCCUCUCUGAGGCAAAAUUGA